rnacentral:tRNA from 1 species
GGGGCUAUAGCUCAGCUGGGAGAGCGCCUGCUUUGCACGCAGGAGGUCUGCGGUUCGAUGCCGCAUAGCUCCACCA